rnacentral:rRNA from 1 species
UCCUUAGAUGUUCUGGGCCGCACGCGCGCUACACUGAUGCAUUCAACGAGUCUAAAACCUGGUCUGAUAGGGCUGGGUAAUCUUUUGAAUGUGCAUCGUGAUUGGGAUAGAUGAUUGCAAUUCUUCAUCUUCAACGAGGAAUGCCUAGUAAACGCAAGUCAUCAGCUUGCAUUGAUUACGUCCCUGCCCUUUGUACACACCGCCCGUCGCUCCUACCGAUUGAAUGUUCCGAUGAAUACCAUGGACUGAGAGUAUGAAUGGGUUCGCCUAUUUCUGCUUCUCGGGAAGUGGAGUAAAUCUUAACAUUUAGAGGAAGGAGAAGUCGUAACA